UUAUAUGGCCUGCAAGUAUUACUGUGAGAGGACAGCAUUCACUGGCAUGGAGGAGAGGUUACGCAGAUCACUAGUUCAGUGUUUGAAAGGAUUAGAAGAGAAAUUGACUACAAUGGCAGAAGGUGCUGCAUAUCUGUGGGAAUGAAGGAGAGGUGAAAACCCACAUUGUGUUUGUGAAGUCUGGGCUUUUAAAUUGGUGAAGAUUUCUUUGGCAAAAAGAUAAACAUGGCCUUUAAUUUUCUUCAUCUAGAACAGGCCUUUCUAACCCGCUCUGGUUCAGGACACCAGACUUCAAAUAAUCACUGUUUAUCAGGCUUUGCCUUCUAAUGUCUUUGGGUAGCACGCCAAGAAUUUCUCUGCAUGUAGCAUAGCUUUCCUGUGGUCUCCUUAAUGGAUCGGAGAUUUAGCAGGAGUGUUCUGACCUGGGAAAUAUGCCUCCUCAUUCAGUGCUUACUGUAGCACAAUGCUGAAGAUUUGUCUGAAUAUGUAAGAUGCUUUUCUGUUGGAUGUAGUGAGAAACUUCUUGUUUCUGGACCAUUACCCACGGAGCAAAAUUAAUUCUAAUCCAGAACUGUGAACAGAAGGGAUGGGGCUCAGCUGAUCCAAAGUUGGUGUCAACUUUAGAACAUUUUGAGUAUUCGUAGAAGCCCUUAGAGGACAAGAACCUUUUCCUCAACCUUGUUUUCUUGCUUCUUGUACAGAAUGUCUUCCAUUUGGCGUAUCCACCAGAGCUCUCUUCCAUUGACCUCCAGUUAGUUUCACCUCUCCAGUAUCUCCUCUCCUAUUGGAAAGACUGCAGCUGAGGCAGCAGAGCUGAUGUGGCAAAGCAUGAACAGGCUGAGUUUUUUUAAAAAAGUUUUUUGUCCUCCAUCUGCCAGAGAUUGCACGUGCUCCCUUGAAAUGUCUUCAUUACAAUAACAACAUACCUUUCAUGAUCCAAGGGAAGAGUUGCUUUCCUGUAACCAUUGCUAAAACAACUGCAAACUGCUACAGUCCUAACAGGGCUGGCUAGUGUGCAAAGCAGCUCACUGUCUUUCUGAAAAAUUGUAAUUGUUAGUAAUUUAGUAAUUAAUCCACCUGAAUUUCUUAAGCUUCUGUAGUGGCUGUCCACCGUACAUUUUCUAAGUGCAUCAACAUUGUUCUUCAAUCUUAUAUUAAGGAUUUUCUUCUAUGUAGUGGUUAUCCCAAUGACUACUAAAUAUGAAAGUGCAGAAUGUUAUUCCUUCAAAAUCUGAUAUCAUUCUUAUAAUAUCCUUAUGGUGAAUAUUGCAAAUAACAUUAUCCAUUUAUAUGCUGAAAAGAUAAUCUGGAAUUCCAAUUUUAUUGACUAUUUGUAAUUAAAUAGAAGUACAAUGUGGUGAAUAAAAUUUAGGUGAAAAAAUGUAAGUGACUAAAAGAAUAUUUUCAAUUUUCUCUCUCCAUGGAAAAGGGAAAAUUCUUUAUUCUUAACGCCAGUUGUCAUUCAGUAAAUGUAUAAUAAGAAUGUAACAAGCUGACCAUUUUGUACCUCAGUGUUGAACCCAUAGCAGAUUGAGUAUUGCUGGCAUACUUGUUUCUUCUCCUUUGAAAAGACAGAAGUGUAACUCUCAUUUUAAGCCUCUAACAUAGACAGCUGGGGUAAUGUUCAUGAUAUCAGAGAAUUAUGUUACUGUUAACUCAAUAAAACAUCAAUAGAAAAGUGA